rnacentral:lncRNA from 1 species
CAUAUCUAUAAUAUUCUUAAUCACAAAUAAAUCACAUAUAUUGUCAUUUUGUCAAUCAUUAUUUCAAUCAAAUGAUAUAUUUCUUAUGUCCAAUCAGAAUUUAUUGAAGCAUGAGAAUUAUUCAAGGUAUUCUGUUGGGUUUCUAUUUAGUACUGAGAAAUCUUUCUUUUUUUUCAUGGAUUUUUCCCUAUCUAACACUUAAUAUGUAUCAGGUUAAAAAUAACUUUUGUCUACAUAUAGUAGCUGGGAAUCUGUGAUGUAAUGAUAUGUUGAUGUGACAGGAAAGAAAUUACUACCUAAACCUUGAUUCCAUCUCACCAAUUAUAUAACGUUUAAUCAACACUGUGAAACAAUAAUUACGUAAAUGACACAAAAUUCAAUAUAUUUAAGUAAUCACAUCAGUUAUCUAAAAAAACAUUAUAAGUCCUAACAAAAUCAGUAAAAUCAUUAAGUAGUAAUCCAAUUAUUAUAGGUUAUCAUUUUACAUCAAUUAUAAAACAAAUUGAGUUACAAUAGAUGAUUCUUAACAAGGUCCAAUUAUAUAUUCUUCUUUGUAUAGUACUACUAUGUACCAGUAACCAUGGUGGUUAUUGGUGAAGCAAGCUAGUGGGAGUGAGUGAGGUACUAGAGUUUCUUCAGUUUUAGAGUAAAAUUCAGAUUCCAGAGGAGGGUACCCACUUAUAAGCAUUAGAUCCAGUGACUAGAGGAAAAAUUUUAAAAGCCUGAGAAAUGUGGUCAGAUGAAGAAAACCAUGUUGGUGAUAGCCAAACCUACUUCACGCUGUAAACCACAGAUCUUUGGAGAGUCACUAAAAAGCUCAUGAAUUGAUAUCUGAUGCUGUUUGCCAUUUUAAAACAUGUUUAAGAAAAGACAAUAGCAUGACUUAAACUCCUACAAUACUGCUUGCCAUGGCAUAGUCAAGUUUAUAGUAAUAGUUGCAAGCUGAAGGUUAUGAACAUAUGAAAAACUAUUUGGCUGUUUGAAAGUCCUACAGCAGAGGUGUUCGGUUUAAGGGAUCUGUACGUCUCAAUGCAGCCAGUAAAGUAUUAGGAAAUAUAGAUAGAUGUGGUAAAAAGGAAAUAUUUACAACCUAUUUACUAUACAUUUCUCCUUGAUUGAACGUGGGAAAUUUAUACUUGAAAUUAUACAAUUAUAUCAGUACAUUUUAGUACAAAAAUGACCAAUAACCUAUUGUAAUGUUGUACACAGUCCAUGAAUCUUUUUAACAAUACCAUUUAAUGCCUUUUGAUAUGCUGCUUUCUUUUCUUUAAGCAAUGGCUCCUUAUUGCAAAUUUUAACAUGUAGUGGAUUUUGGGGUCGUCAAACCAUGAAUUUUAACACAAAAAUAUGCACAAUUUUCAUUCAUUUGUUAAUUUUGAAGUGUAAAUUCACAAUUCCAUAAACCCUAUACCAAAGAUUUCUCCCAAAUUAAUAUAACAGGGAAUAUACCAAUAAAUAUACUGUCAAAUUAUAUGAAAUCAUUACAAUUUACUGAACACUUUCAUGAACCAUGAAUGAAAUUUCAUUUUCACAACUUUGAAUAUUCUAAUUUUCAUUAUAAAUCAACUCUGAAUAGUUUAAUGUAC